rnacentral:lncRNA from 1 species
UUCACUGUAUUAGAUGCCGACCCUUGUCCAAGGCCAUGGAAAGGAAGCUUAAAGGAUUCAACAAUAGGAUCAAUUGUGAUAGCAGAAGGGUCAAGUGAGGGUGUGUUUUGUUAACAUUUAUAUCUGGUUUUGAUUGAUUGGUAAUUAAAUAGGGAAGGGAGUAACAUGAUUUUGUAGGAGGAGCCGCAGCCCGCGGUGCAUCUUCUCCCCUGCAGCCCGAGCUCCGAUGGCCCCAGAGCCGAGUGAAGGUGCGGUAGUGUCAUGCAUGGGUAUGCCGAGCCUGAUUGUGUCCUCGCCAUGACGUUGACGGCACGCCCUCGGGAGGGUCCUGCACGAGAGUGAUAGGAGAGGGUGGCACCAACUGUGGCUGCAUCGCUGAGCUAGAAACCGUCGUGCACAUCGACAUUGCCUGUGGCAUCGAUGAGCCCUGC